GGCGACAUGGCCGAGUGGUCUAAGGCGCCAGAAUCAGGAAAUGCAUGCUCUUUCGGUCUCCGAAUAGUGUUUGAUACCAAUCUCAAAUCUGGUCUUUCGAGGCGAGGGUUCGAAUCCCUCUGUCGUCA